CUACGGAGGAUGCAAGCGUUAUCCGGAUUUAUUGGGUUUAAAGGGUGCGUAGGCGGUUUGCUAAGCGGGAGGUGAAAUGCCGGCGCUCAACGUCGGAAGUGCCUCCCGAACUGGUGGACUUGAAUGACUCUGCCGUGGGAGGAAUGUGUAGUGUAGCGGUGGAAUGCUUAGAGAUUACACAGAACACCGAUUGCGAAGGCAUCUCACGAAGGGUUGAUUGACGCUGAGGCACGAAAGCGUGGGGAUCAAACAGGAUUAGAUACCCUGGUAGUCCACGCAGUAAACGAUGAUGGCUAACCGCUGGUUUUUUCGGAUCAGUGGCCAAGCGAAAGCGAUAAGCCAUCCACCUGGGGAGUACGACCGCAAGGUUGAAACUCAAAUGAAUUGACGGGG
rnacentral:rRNA from 1 species